AAGUCGUAACAAGGUCUCCGUAGGUGAACCUGCGGAGGGAUCAUUACACAAUAACAAGGCGGGCUGGACACCCCCCGCUGGGCACUGCUUCACGGCGUGCGCGGCGGGGCCGGCCCUGCUGAAUUAUUCACCCGUGUCUUUUGCGUACUUCUUGUUUCCUGGGUGGGCUCGCCCGCCCUCAGGACCAACCACAAACCUUUUGCAAUAGCAAUCAGCGUCAGUAACAACGUAAUUAAUUACAACUUUCAACAACGGAUCUCUUGGUUCUGGCAUCGAUGAAGAACGCAGCGAAAUGCGAUACGUAGUGUGAAUUGCAGAAUUCAGUGAAUCAUCGAAUCUUUGAACGCACAUUGCGCCCUUUGGUAUUCCAAAGGGCAUGCCUGUUCGAGCGUCAUUUGUACCCUCAAGCUUUGCUUGGUGUUGGGCGUCUUUUGUCUCCAGUUCGCUGGAGACUCGCCUUAAAGUCAUUGGCAGCCGGCCUACUGGUUUCGGAGCGCAGCACAAGUCGCGCUCUUUGCCAGCCAAGGUCAGCGUCCAGCAAGCCUUUUUUUCAACCUUUGACCUCGGAUCAGGUAGGGAUACCCGCUGAACUUAA
rnacentral:rRNA from 1 species